rnacentral:rRNA from 1 species
GAUGAACGCUGGCGGCGUGCCUAAUACAUGCAAGUCGAGCGCAUAGACGAUGACCUUGCUUCUCUGACGUUAGCGGCGGACGGGUGAGUAACACGUGGUUAACCUUCCUUUAAGACCGGAAUAACGUCGGGAAACCGGAGCUAAUACGUGAUAAUAUAUUGAAACUCAUGGUUCAAUAGUGAAAGACGGUGUUGGUGUCACUUAUAGAUGGAUCCGCGCUGCAUUAGCUAGUUGGUAAGGUAACGGCUUACCAAGGCAACGAUGCGUAGCCGACCUGAGAGGGUGAUCGGCCACACUGGAACUGAGACACGGCCCAGACUCCUACGGGAGGCAGCAGUAGGGAAUCUUCGGCAAUGGGCGAAAGCCUGACGGAGCAACGCCGCGUGAGUGAUGAAGGUUUUCGGAUUGUAAAACUCUGUUAUUAGGGAAGAACAAAUGUGUGAGUGAAUAGGCACGUCUUGAAGGGAACUAAUCAGAAAGGCAAGGCUAAACAAGGU